rnacentral:rRNA from 1 species
GACGAACGCUGGCGGCGUGCUUAACACAUGCCAGUCGAACGGAAAGGCCCUGCUUUUGUUGGUUGCUCGAGUGGCGAACGGGUGAGUAACACGUGAGUAACCUGCCCUUGACUUUGGGAUAACUUCAGGAAACUGGGGCUAAUACCGGAUAGGAGCUCCUGCUGCAUGGUGGUGGUUGGAAAGUUUCGGCGGUUGGGGAUGGGCUCGCGGCUUAUCAGCUUGUUGGUGGGGUAGUUGCUUACCAAGGCUUUGACGGGUAGCCGGCCUGAGAGGGUGACCGGCCACAUUGGGACUGAGAUACGGCCCAGACUCCUACGGGAGGCAGCAGUGGGGAAUAUUGCACAAUGGGCGGAAGCCUGAUGCAGCAACGCCGCGUGCGGGAUGACGGCCUUCGGGUUGUAAACCGCUUUCGCCUGUGACGAAGCGUGAGUGACGGUAAUGGGUAAAGAAGCACCGGCUAACUACGUG